UACAUGUGGGGCAAGCGUUGUUCGGAAUUACUGGGCGUAAAGCGUGCGCAGGCGGUUUUGUAAGUCAGAUGUGAAAUCCCCGGGCUCAACCUGGGAACUGCAUUUGUGACUGCAUAGCUAGAGUACGGUAGAGGGGGAUGGAAUUCCGCGUGUAGCAGUGAAAUGCGUAGAUAUGCGGAGGAACACCGAUGGCGAAGGCAAUCCCCUGGACCUGUACUGACGCUCAUGCACGAAAGCGUGGGGAGCAAACAGG
rnacentral:rRNA from 1 species